rnacentral:rRNA from 1 species
AGUGAACGCUGGCGGUAGGCCUAACACAUGCAAGUCGAACGGCAGCACAGUAAGAGCUUGCUCUUACGGGUGGCGAGUGGCGGACGGGUGAGGAAUACAUCGGAAUCUACUUUUUCGUGGGGGAUAACGUAGGGAAACUUACGCUAAUACCGCAUACGACCUACGGGUGAAAGCAGGGGAUCUUCGGACCUUGCGCGAUUGAAUGAGCCGAUGUCGGAUUAGCUAGUUGGCGGGGUAAAGGCCCACCAAGGCGACGAUCCGUAGCUGGUCUGAGAGGAUGAUCGGCCACAUUGGAACUGAGACACGGUCCAGACUCCUACGGGAGGCAGCAGUGGGGAAUAUUGGACAGUGGGCGCAAGCCUUAUCCAGCCAUACGGCGUGGGUGAAGACGGCCUUCGGGUUGUAAAGCCCUUUUGUUGGGAAAGAAAAGCAGCAGGUUAAUACCCCGCUGUUCUGACGGUACCCAAAGAAUAAGCACCGGCUAACUUCGUG